rnacentral:tRNA from 2 species
AUUAUUUUGGCAGAUUAGUGCAUUAAAUUUAGAAUUUAAUUAUGUAAUAUAAUUACAAAUAAUAC